CAACUGACACCGUCCCUGUGAGAUUGAGAACAGACCAAUGAGAUCCAAGGCACCUCUGGAUCAGACUCAGAGAAACCCAACAACAAGGAUGCAGCCAUGAAUAGACAGCUACAACAUCUUCCAUGAUGGAAACAGUGGUUGUUUUUGUCCACCACUUCAUCUCUAGUAAACUCAGCAGAGUGCCUGACAUGAAGAAGCUCAAAUGUAUUCCAAGAAUGGAAGAAGCUGUAAAACACAAUGAGAACACAUUGAGUUCAAGUUUAAAACUCGUCUUCGGGGCUUUAUCCCAUAAGCUUCAUUUCCUCUGCUUUUAGUGCUACCUGGAAGGGCACCUCUCCUAGAACUUUGUGUCUCCUUGAUUUUCUCCUGAUUCAGAAAUCAAGAGAAAACAGUGUUUCUUUUUUCCUGACUGUCCAUUACUGCCCAAGAGAAGGACAAUCUGGCCAAGAGCCGCGAAAAUUCAAGCCGAACAAUCCGACCUUUCAGGGGGAUCCAGCGAACACAGCACUUACCAAUGAAUGAACCUGUUUCUGGUGACGGAGAACAACUUGCCACUUUCCAUAUAGUAGAAGCCUCCCGCGCUCUCACCGUAUUUCACCGCUCCAGCCAAGGCAUUUGCAGUCCCUGCAAAAGGAGAGUGGUCAGCCUGCAUAUCUGGUUCUCUCGGAAUGACCGAGACUGAGGGCGCUGAGAAAGCAGAGGGUGACGACUGACAAUCCACACGAAGAGAAGGGGAAGAAGGCAGGACGAAGUAGGACACUACGGAAGCUAUGAUCCCAAGGCUACAGGCAUGUGGACUAAAGGAGUAUGAACCCGGGGUCAGAGAUUUAAGGACCCAUGAGAGGAGCCCGAGGGGAAGGAUCGGAUCGUGUCCUCCUUAGCUGCUUUCGUACCGAUGCCGGAAACUGUGAAUUCCCGAAAGUGUCUCGGCCUCUCGCGCUCAGCACCGCUGAGCUCCUCGAAGCUCCGUUCCAGGGCUCCCGCCGCCGCCAUCUUCCCGCCGCCGCCGCAGGGCCCGACGGGACGCGAGCUAGGCCGGGCGGCCAUCGUCACUUCCGGGGGCGGGCGGAUGGAGUUAUGAACUGGUGAGGAAGCCUGCGGGGAAGGAGGGUACGAUUGACUCUUCGUUGCGAGGCUUCCAGUCGGUUGGUUGGAGAACGAGAGUGGACAGGAAGGAAGCCAGAAGACAAAGGGGCAAAAGGGAACCGACUCUGCUUGCGGGAACUUUAGCCUGGCCGGCCGGCUGGGACAUCCCCUCAGGGGGCGGUACCCUUUUCCCGGCGUCCUCCGGGCAGGGGGCGGGGCCAGGUUUGUUUCCAUUUUGAAAACCCGGACGCGGGCGGCGGGGUUGAGCUUCCCCGGAGGGGCGAGGUCCGGAGAGUCCGGGUGGCCGAGCGCCCUCUACCGGGUUCCGAGGUCGCGGUCACCCUUCUCUGCGUCGGGGUGGCGGUCAGUACAUUGGCUGGUCUCCUUUUUGGCCUUCAGCGGCACGUGGGAUGGGGAGAGGGCGAGUACUGGGGAGAGGAGAUCUUUUGGGUUGGAAUCUUUUAGAGAGUCUGAAUUCGUGCAUUCUGGUGUUCUGAAACGCAAUGCGUUCAGCAAAACGUUGAUGCAACACGCUGUGGUUAUCUAAAUGCUCAAAGGAAUUUGCCUUUCAUCCCGUCCCUGAUCUGGAUGUCUGUAAGAUAUUGUGCCUUUACCGGUAUCUAGGGCUCAGCAGAUGCUCAGUACUGGGAAAAAUGCUGAUUUGCAUGGGAAAAGGAUUUUUCCUCCAUAGUCAACAUUUGUUAAGCAGUUCUGUUAUUCUUGUUAUUACCAGUGAAUGCAACCCUUCUUUAUCA